CCCUUAGAUGUUCUGGGCCGCACGCGCGCUACACUGAUGCAUUCAACGAGUCUAAAACCUGCUCUGAUAGGGGUGGGUAAUCUUUUGAAUGUGCAUCGUGAUUGGGAUAGAUGAUUGCAAUUUUUCAUCUUCAACGAGGAAUGCCUAGUAAACGCAAGUCAUCAGCUUGCAUUGAUUACGUCCCUGCCCUUUGUACACACCGCCCGUCGCUCCUACCGAUUGAAUGAUCCGAUGAAUAUCAUGGAUUGAGGAUGCAAGCAGGUUCGCCUGUCUUCAUCUUCGAGAAGUGAAGUAAGUCUUAUCAUUUAGAGGAAGGAGAAGUCGUAACA
rnacentral:rRNA from 1 species